UAUUUCUUCUCCAGUAAAUUAGAUCUUAGUUGGAGGUGAUAUGUGUUCUUUGCUCAGCAUUAUCAUUAAAAAAAAAGGAAAAUUCAUAAAAAGAUGUACAGAAAAAUAGAUACCACUUUGUGCUACUUGCAAUAAAUAAACAUAGAAGAUAUGAUGUAUGUAUAGUAUUAACUUUGUGGGAUGUGUUGUUUCUUCCAAUAGCGUCAUGUUCUGUUUGUUGUGUGAUUGAAAGAUGUAGGGGCCUCGCUUACAUAGUCGGGAAAAAUGGAAGCAAAGGCUGAAGAAGAUGGUAAUGUGGAGUGACAGUUUGAAUAAAGGAGGCAUUGCGAAAAUAAAAGCUCACAAUACCUUGGUCGCUCUAGUGGACAAAUACACAGAAGAAAAUUUUUUCUUCCCAUGUAAGUAAAUCGCCGUGAAGAUUGCAAUAAGUAGAUAGUUGGGCACUAAGACUGUUUAGAUAGCAUCAUUAUGAGCACAAUAUGAAAUAUUAAACCGCCACCAUUGCCGCAUAAAUAAGGUUAAACUCCACAAAACAUAUUUAAUCAUUACUCUGUGUAUGUGAUACAUGUAUCUUAUUUUUCUUCUCUUUCACCAUUGUAAAUAAUUAGAUAUCUCAAUUUCAAGUUAUUGAUAUUAUA